rnacentral:rRNA from 1 species
UACGAAGGGGGCUAGCGUUGUUCGGAAUCACUGGGCGUAAAGGGCGCGUAGGCGGCCGAUCAAGUCGGGGGUGAAAGCCUGUGGCUUAACCACAGAAUGGCCUUCGAUACUGUUUGGCUUGAGACCGGAAGAGGUUAGUGGAACUGCGAGUGUAGAGGUGAAAUUCGUAGAUAUUCGGAAGAACACCAGUGGCGAAGGCGGCUCACUGGUCCGGUACUGACGCUGAGGUGCGAAAGCGUGGGGAGCAAACAGG